AUUAAUGCUAAGCAUAGAAGAGACGUUAUAUUGUAGUAUUGUGGCUUUCUCUUUUAAAUGGAGGGCUAAAGAAUAUUGUAUGAAUAUUAACACGCUUAUGCUAUUUAUUGGAAUAGGACCUAUAUUGGCGUUGGAAGUAUCGAGGAACAUAGAGGUAAUGACGAAAAGGCUAGGGAGCAAGGCACUACUGCAGAGGGACAGGCAGAUGCUUAGGAUCUUUCCUAACUAGAACAGUUAUGUUUAUGGAUGAUGGGUUAUGUUUAUGUAUAAACAUUUUAAGUUGGGACGAACUCUGAGAGUCUCUUAUGGAUGAAUGUUCGAAUAGAAUGUCUAUCAGGUGUUUCCUUUAUUAUAUUAGAAAUUUAGAGUACACGCGUGUCAUGUCCAUGCCAAUCGCAUAUUA